rnacentral:tRNA from 1 species
GCGCCCGUAGCUCAGCAGGAUAGAGCACCGGUUUCCGGGGCUGGAGGUCGCAGGUUCGAAUCCUGCCGGGCGCA